rnacentral:rRNA from 1 species
ACGGGAGGCAGCAGUGGGGAAUAUUGGGCAAUGGACGAAAGUCUGACCCAGCGACGCCGCGUGAGGGAAGAAGAUCUUCGGAUUGUAAACCUUAGUCAACAGGGAAGAAGCAAGUGACGGUACCUGUGGAGGAAGCCACGGCUAACUACGUGCCAGCAGCCGCGGUAAUACGUAGGGGGCGAGCGUUGUCCGGAAUGACUGGGCGUAAAGGGCGUGUAGGCGGCACUGUAAGUCUGGAGUGAAAGUCCUGCUUUCAAGGUGGGAAUUGCUUUGGAGACUGCAGAGCUUGAGUACAGAAGAGGUAAGCGGAAUUCCCGGUGUAGCGGUGAAAUGCGUAGAGAUCGGGAGGAACACCAGUGGCGAAGGCGGCUUACUGGGCUGUAACUGACGCUGAGGCGCGAAAGCGUGGGGAGCAAACAGGAUUAGAUACCCUGGUA